ensembl:lncRNA
AUAAAAUGCAGCCUUGGUGAGAAAAAGUAUAAAAUAUAAAAUCUUACUGAUCUUAAACUUUUUUUUUUUUCUUGGUCACUUGGACGAUAUUGUACAUCAGAGCCAUGGGUAAAGAAAGCUGCACAUUUAAUAAAAAGUGCUUGAACUGUACAUCCCAUGAAUGUAUCACCAUGCCACAGUAUUCUGUAUUCCCAUAUUACCACUUUGCAGAUUUAGCUAGUCAACUACUAUGUGAAUCAGUAUUUUAAAUUCUUGUGUAGUUUGGGAAAGGAGCCAAUACUACUACAUGCUCGAUUGUCACAAACUAGUUUUGCUUUGUUGCACAAAUUAUACUGAAUCUGUUUCCUUGCAUGGUCUUAAUCUCUUUCUGUUUGUGCCCUUUAUUUGGUAUGUAACAGUUAAUGUUUCGGUUGUUUCAAUAACUAUUAAUCUGAACAGGUAUAGAGGAACUUUUAUAUCUUUCUGUUCUCUUUGUGUUGUAGCAUUUUUCACUCAUUGUAAAUGUUGUACAGAAACUAGUUAAUAUUUGUAUUGAUGUGCCACUCAUCAACCUUAAUGAAUAAAGGAAAGGCUGUCUUUUAUACAGUUUUAUGAGAAUCGACAAGUUAGACAUGCAACUAAGUAAUGUAUAAAUCAUUUGUAACUGUUGAAAUGAAAUGCCAUCACACCUUGCUCAUCAGUGCUGAUGUCACAGACAAGACUAGUUCUUCAUUAUCAAUCUAAAGAAAGGAAAUUUGAUUUUGAGCAGUCAGUUCUGAAGAAACACCUAUAUUAAAACCUUAAUGUUUCAUAUCAUUUCUGGAUGACCAAUCCCUGACCCAUUCACAGCAACAAUGUCAUUUUUGCACAUUUUAAUUGUUGUGCUGUGUCUGUGUCCACUGUUACAGACAAAGAUGGACCUUUCUUUUGUCCAGUGUGUGGGUAUGUAACUAGAUUACUAGUACUCAUUUAUAUUUACACAAGUAGAAAAGGACAAAUGAAAAAGCUUUCAAUAAAUUCAAUAAUAGUUAAAAAGCC